rnacentral:rRNA from 1 species
UUCCUACGGGGGGCUGCAGUGGGGAAUAUUGGACAAUGGGCGCAAGCCUGAUCCAGCCAUGCCGCGUGAGUGAUGAAGGCCCUAGGGUUGUAAAGCUCUUUCACCGAUGAAGAUAAUGACGGUAGUCGGAGAAGAAGCCCCGGCUAACUUCGUGCCAGCAGCCGCGGUAAUACGAAGGGGGCUAGCGUUGUUCGGAAUUACUGGGCGUAAAGCGCACGUAGGCGGAUAAUUAAGUCAGGGGUGAAAUCCCAGAGCUCAACUCUGGAACUGCCUUUGAUACUGGGUAUCUAGAGUAUGGAAGAGGUGAGUGGAAUUUCGAGUGUAGAGGGGAAAUUCGUAGAUAUUCGGAGGAACACCAGUGGCGAAGGCGGCUCACUGGUCCAUUACUGACGCUGAGGUGCGAAAGCGUGGGGAGCAAACAGGAUUAGAUACCCUAGUAGUC